rnacentral:lncRNA from 1 species
UCGUUCUAAGGUCGUAAAUCCAUGACUAGUUAGCAAAAGCUCCCUGACAUGAACAUAAACUAACUCAGAGGACCUAGAGGAUCCGAUUAUGAUGAUAAUUUUCCAGCUUUGAUAAGUCUUCAACGUCUUUUGCAAGACGGCAAUUGGUUUAAUAGCGUAGGGGGAUCCAAAAUCAAAAGCUUUCGGUAACUCCAAGUCAGUAUGACCAGGCAUGUCCGUGGAGGGUCGGUAGUGCGAGGCACACUUAAAACCACUAUCUCCUUAAUUUCAGACAAUUCUAAGACAUCACACUGAGCUUGGAUGAGCCUAGUUGAACAAUUGAUGAUGAAAAAUCCGCUAUAGGGUAGAAGACUUAACCGGAAACACGUGGGCGAUCCUCCUUGAGGAUGCAGUGUCAUGAGUCACCUUCAAAGGAAUUGACCAAAAUCGACACAAUAUGCCAUGUUUCUAAGGACGAUGUAAGUGUACAUCUUGAUUGUAAAUCAAUAUGAACCAUAAGAGGAGAAUAGUUUCACUUCGAAAAAUUCUCAAGGCAUUCAUUAUUGCUAAUGUGAGUACAUCGAGAUCUCAAAUAGACAAAGGACGUCGAUACAACGCCUUAGUACAUAUAACUUGGAACGAAAAUCAAUGUCUAGCCGAUGACAUCAAAGUCAUGGGUAGCUAGAGCAGGAUCCGAAUCUUUAAAAUUCGCGAUCAUGAGGAUGACGUUCUUGUCCUCAUAUUGAUUUUCCAUACCUUUUUGUAUGCAUUCACAAUUCAAAGGAGCUUGACAAUCUUGAACCAGUGAUCCGAAGAUCCACAACGGUUGCAUUAAUGUCAUGAGCUGACGUGAGUAGUUUUGACAAAAUGGUGUCUAGACUGGGAGUGUCGCUAUUAGAGCCGGCAACACCUCCCCCUCUUUUCUAGACAUCGGCACGACGUUUUCUGCCGUUGCCAUGACCCAUAUUGUUGUCCCCACAUUAGGGGAUAAUCCGAAAUAAGUUUAUCACAUUAGCGUAUAUACAAUUCCUGUUUGUAUGAUCAAAAUCAAGUCUCGUUGGUAAUUCCACACCAACUUGAAGGACCUAGAGAACUUGAUGAUGAUCGAAUCCGCUAAAGAUUAUGGAUCAUGAUGCCACAAAAGAUCAUCGACAAUAUGUAGUCAAUUAAGGUGGUAAGCAAUCCACUUGUCUAAUAACUCAACAAGGAGAGUUAUAUGAACGUUUCGAGAAACGCUCCAUGAGUGCAUUCCACAGUACUUUGUGGUCAUUACUUUUUGCACAGAUUGCCAUUGAAGGCUUUUGUUGAUGUGGCAUCUCGGCAUCUAGGCUUGUUAGCCUGGGGGUCAAAACUUGUGGUUUAAUCCUUUCCAAUGAAAGGUUCCACAGAUACCAAGCGAAGAUCCGCCUUAGGCAUCUAGUACGUCAAAACUCAAAGGAGCAGAAUGUUACAUUGCUCUUGCAUAUAAAACCAAGCUGUUAUGAGACUCGAUAGAGGUCACAAACGAUGCUUUUAAUGGUUUGUCCUUCGGAUUGAUCAUACACA